rnacentral:tRNA from 1 species
AUUUUUGUAGUUUAAUUAAAACAUUACAUUUUCAAUGUAAAAAUAAAAUUUUAUUUUUCAUAAAUA